CUUCAGCCUCUCUCCAGCAUCUCCAACCUAAUGCAGCUCAAAUGGGACUCGUGAGUUCCCCAGCUGAGCUCCAAUCGGGGCACCAGCUGCUUAAGCCCAAAAUGGACAUUGACCUCAGCUUUUAUGCAUCAAAUGUAUCAGGAAGUCUCCAGUUUGUUUUUACGUCUGGAAAUAUAUCUGAAAUCCAUGUGCCCACCCUACCCCCUCAUAGCUUUCUGCCACCACACAAAUCCAAGGCUCCUUUGUCUGUCCCCAUUUUACUCCCGCCCCUCCAGAAAUUUCUCCUCACGGCUGUUCAAAGAAAAUCUAGACUCCUCAGCACAGCCAACCUGUCUCUCCCUCCCUCACCCACGUGGCCUUUGAAGACAUGGAGCCAUAGAGGAGAACCAAGUGCUGGAUGUGGGCUUUUUCAUGGGCAUCUGUUUUGAGGAAAAAGGUUGUAAAUGUUUUUGUCUUAUUUUCAUAGCAUUGGGAAUGGUACCACCUCCCGAAAAUGUCAGAAUGAAUUCUGUUAAUUUCAAGAACAUUCUACAGUGGGAGUCACCUGCUUUUGCCAAAGGGAACCUGACUUUCACAGCUCAGUACCUAAGUUAUAGGAUAUUCCAAGAUAAAUGCAUGAAUACUACCUUGACGGAAUGUGAUUUCUCAAGUCUUUCCAAGUAUGGUGACCACACCUUGAGAGUCAGGGCUGAAUCUGCAGAUGAGCAUUCAGACUGGGUAAACAUCACCUUCUGUCCUGUGGAUGACACCAUUAUUGGACCCCCUGGAAUGCAAGUAGAAGUACUUGCUGAUUCUUUACAUAUGCGUUUCUUAGCCCCUAAAAUUGAGAAUGAAUACGAAACUUGGACUAUGAAGAAUGUGUAUAACUCAUGGACUUAUAAUGUGCAAUACUGGAAAAACGGUACUGAUGAAAAGUUUCAAAUUACUCCCCAGUAUGACUUUGAGGUCCUCAGAAACCUGGAGCCAUGGACAACUUAUUGUGUUCAAGUUCGAGGGUUUCUUCCUGAUCGGAACAAAGCUGGGGAAUGGAGUGAGCCUGUCUGUGAGCAAACAACCCAUGACGAAACGGUCCCCUCCUGGAUGGUGGCCGUCAUCCUCAUGGCCUCGGUCUUCAUGGUCUGCCUGGCACUCCUCGGCUGCUUCGCCUUGCUGUGGUGCGUUUAUAAGAAGACAAAGUACGCCUUCUCCCCUAGGAAUUCUCUUCCACAGCACCUGAAAGAGUUUUUGGGCCAUCCUCAUCAUAACACACUUCUGUUUUUCUCCUUUCCAUUGUCGGAUGAGAAUGAUGUUUUCGACAAGCUAAGUGUCAUUGCAGAAGACUCUGAGAGCGGCAAGCAGAAUCCUGGUGACAGCUGCAGCCUCGGGACCCCGCCUGGGCAGGGGCCCCAAAGCUAGGCUCUGAGAAGGAAACACACUCAGCUGGGCACAGUGACGUACUCCAUCUCACAUCUGCCUCAGUGAGGGAUCAGGGCGGCAAACGAGGGCCAAGACCAUCUGAGCCAGCCCCACAUCUAGAACUCCCAGACCCUGGACUUAGCCACCAGAGAGCUACAUUUUAAAGGCUGUCUUGGCAAAAAUACUCCAUUUGGGAACUCACUGCCUUAUAAAGGCUUUCAUGAUGUUUUCAGAAGUUGGCCACUGAGAGUGUAAUUUUCAGCCUUUUAUAUCACUAAAAUAGGAUCAUGUUUUAAUUGUGAGAAAGAGGGCCGAGCACAGUGGCUCACGCCUGUAAUACCAGCACCUUGGGAGGUCGAGGCAGGCGGAUCACCUGAGGUCAGGAGUUCAAGACCAGCCUGGCCAACAUGGUGAAACCCAGUCUCUACUAAAAAUACAAAAAUUAGCUAGGCAUGAUGGCGCAUGCCUAUAAUCCCAGCUACUCGAGUGCCCGAGGCAGGAGAAUUGCAUGAACCCGGGAGGAGGAGGAGGUUGCAGUGAGCCAAGAUAGCGGCACUGCACUCCAGCCUGGGUGACAAAGUGAGACUCCAUCUC
rnacentral:sRNA from 1 species